GGCUUCUCCAGAAAACAAAUAACUUGGAUUCAUUCUCUAUUAUUGUCAGCAUCAACUCUCCUUGUGAAUGGUGCCCCCAGAGAGAUGAAUCAAAUGCAAGCAAGGUUUGAGGUAAGUAUAUCCUCUAUUACCAGCCCCUUUCAUUCGUCACCGAUGUCCUCCCCAAUCAAGUAAGGCAAGCUAGAUCGUCGAGGCUUAUUGAAGGUAUUCGAAGCAAUUAUUGUUUCAAUGGCAUCAAAAGUCUGCACUUUGCAUAUGAUACUUUACUAUUUUAGGCUGAAAAGAAAGAGAGCAUACCAUCAAAGAAAUUUUCCUCACCUUUGAAGGAGGGUGGGAGUCAAAAUUAACUUUCACAAAAGCUCCAUCCAUUGUUUGGAUAUGGAAGAAUGUUAGGCCUCAACUUUUGCCACCAUGAUGAAUUACAAGAAGGGCUCCUUUCCAUUCACAAUCUGCCAUUAAGCGACAAGAGACUCACCAAGCACAAACGUUGCCCCUGCUAGAGAAGCUCUCAUCCAGGCUAGCCUCUUGGAAAGG
rnacentral:lncRNA from 1 species